rnacentral:rRNA from 1 species
UGGGGAAUAUUGCGCAAUGGCCGAAAGGCUGACGCAGCGACGCCGCGUGGGGGAGGAAGGUCUUCGGAUUGUAAACCCCUGUUGCCCGGGACGAAUCCUGGUUUAAACCAGAUUGACGGUACCGGGUGAGGAAGCACCGGCUAACUCUGUGCCAGCAGCCGCGGUAAUACAGAGGGUGCGAGCGUUGUCCGGAAUCACUGGGCGUAAAGGGCGCGUAGGUGGCUUGCCAAGCGUGUGGUGAAAGCCCGGAGCUCAACUCCGGGUCUGCCAUGCGAACUGGCAGGCUAGAGCACGGUAGAGGCCAAUGGAAUUCCGGGUGUAGCGGUGGAAUGCGUAGAGAUCCGGAAGAACACCGGUGGCGAAGGCGGUUGGCUGGGCCGUUGCUGACACUGAUGCGCGACAGCGUGGGGAGCAAACAG